CCAUUUGAAUGUGUUAAUACAUUGAUGAUUCAAGUGAGUAUAACGCUGAUCAGUCAUCUAUUAGGAUGGUCUGAAUCCUGCACUCUGGGAUCGAUUGCUUUAGUCUCCGCCCACAUACCUGGAGGAAAAGCGGUAAUUUUCCACUCGAGUAAAGCUCUCGUGGAAGUAACACCGACCGUCAUGCUUGUGAUUUAUUUCUCCUCUAUAUAGAGUGUGGCGAUCUCCUCCUUCACACAGAAGUCAGAUGGUUGAGUAGGAGUAAGGUACUUCACCACUUUUUUCCUUGCUGUGUGAAAUUAAGGCUUUUAUGGAAGCAAGUGGGGAGGACACUAACCUGUUGUCUGAUGCUGGAUGGCUGCUUGAACUUGCAUAAUUGGCUGAUGUGACCGAGAAACUGAAUCAGCUCAAUCUUCAGUUACAAGGUAAAGAAAAACCAUAUGUGAUAUGAUCAGUGUUGUGAAGGCAUUUAAAGCUAAACUUAAUCAAUUGAAAAACAAAAGAUUGCAACACUUCCCCUCAUUGGUAAAGAUGUUAGAAAGCCACACAAAUGCAACCAAAGUUUUGGAUGUACUCAAGUAUUCUGACUUCCUGUCCAGGCUUGGGCAGGAAUUUGAGGAAAGCUUUGGUGAUUUUGAAAGUCUUGAGCCAUGUGUGGCAUUCAUUGCCAACCCUUUCAUGGAGAUAGACAUUGAUCACAUUUCAAAGCACAUGGCUGAACUGUUCACUGUCAAUGCUGUAGAGAUGGAGAUGGAGGUUAUUAAUCUCCAAAAUCAUAUCCAGCUGAAAUCUCAGCAACAUUCACAACAUUUCUGGAGUCUGGUAGACCCAGAAAACUACAAGAACAUUCACCAUCUGCCCUCAAAGCAUCUGCUUUAUUUGGAUGUACAUACCUUUGUGAAGCAGCGUUUUCUGAUUUGAAUGUGAUCAAAUCUAAAUUCAGAACAAGACUGACAGACGAACAUUUAAAUGACUGCAGAAGAGUGACCCUAAGUGCAUACACACCAGUAUAUACCUCUCUUGUGGAAUCAAUGCAGCGUCAGUCAGCUCAUUAACUGUAAAUAAGUGUGAAUGCACUUCAUGUCAUAUUUGUGGCCCAUCAUGCACUUUUCUCAUUUACCAUGCACUCUCAUUCAUGUGGUAUACAUUUUAGUUCAGAAUGCAGGCAAACAUGUGAAAUGCUACUGCUGUUUAUAUUCCAGUUUAAUUUAGUUUGGACUUUCAUUAAUGUAUAUACGUAAACAACCGUAUAGUUAUGUGUAGACAACUAUAACAACGUGUGCUGUUUUCCAUAAAGAACUGUAUUCUCUGAUUCUGUUUUCUUCUCUGACUCCUUCAGGUGUAUAUCAGUUUGUUAAUUUGAGUUAUGAUGCAUUUUGUGAAAGAUUGUAAGUAUUGUAUGACAUGAGUAGCUCUCAGCCACUUAAUUAUUU